UAGGGAAUCUUCCACAAUGGACGCAAGUCUGAUGGAGCAACGCCGCGUGAGUGAAGAAGGCUUUCGGGUCGUAAAACUCUGUUAUUGAAGAAGAACGUGCGUGACAGUAACUGGUCAUGCAGUGACGGUAUUCAAUCAGAAAGUCACGGCUAACUACGUGCCAGCAGCCGCGGUAAUACGUAGGUGGCAAGCGUUGUCCGGAUUUAUUGGGCGUAAAGCGAGUGCAGGCGGUCUUUUAAGUCUGAUGUGAAAGCCUUCGGCUUAACCGAAGAAGGGCAUCGGAAACUGGGAGACUUGAGUG
rnacentral:rRNA from 1 species